rnacentral:rRNA from 1 species
GUGCCAGCAGCCGCGGUAAUACAGAGGUCCCGAGCGUUGUUCGGAUUCACUGGGCGUAAAGGGUGCGUAGGUGGCGAUGGAAGUUUGAUGUGAAAUCUCCGGGCUCAACCCGGAAAUGGCAUUGAAUACUCUAGCGCUUGAGGUUUGGAGGGGGGACUGGAAUUCUCGGUGUAGCAGUGAAAUGCGUAGAUAUCGAGAGGAACACCAGUGGCGAAGGCGGGUCCCUGGACAACACCUGACACUGAGGCACGAAAGCUAGGGGAGCAAACAGGAUUAGAUACCCUGGUAGUCC